AGUGAACGCUGGCGGUAGGCCUAACACAUGCAAGUCGAACGGCAGCACAGUAAGAGCUUGCUCUUACGGGUGGCGAGUGGCGGACGGGUGAGGAAUACAUCGGCAUCUACUUUUUCGUGGGGGAUAACGUAGGGACACUUACGCUAAUACCGCAUACGACCUACGGGUGAAAGCAGGGGAUCUUCGGACCUUUCGCGAUUGAAUGAGCCGAUGUCGGAUUAGCUAGUUGGCGGGGUAAAGGCUCACCAAGGCGACGAUCCGUAGCUGGUCUGAGAGGAUGAUCAGCCACACUGGAACUGAGACACGGUCCAGACUCCUACGGGAGGCAGCAGUGGGGAAUAUUGGACAAUGGGCGAAAGCCUGACCCAGCCAUACCGCGUGGGUGAAGAAGGUCUUCGGGUUGUAAAGCCCUUUUGUUGGGAAAGAAAAGCAGCAGGUUAAUACCCCGCUGUUCUGACGGUACCCAAAGAAUAAGCACCGGCUAACUUCGUG
rnacentral:rRNA from 1 species